rnacentral:lncRNA from 1 species
AUGGGCUGGGAAGUGUCAGGCUUUCUCAGCUCCCAGGUGCAUGAAGCAGGGACAUCCAAGAGGAUGAUGGCAGCUCAAUUCUUGCUGCAAUUCCUCCUCUUCGGGACUCUACUCAUACCUGCAUACCUGCAGGAAGAAUGUGGUUUUCUCGAGAUUGACUCUGAAGAAAUUGAGAGCAAUUUCUCAGUGACUGUGACACCAGAGGAGUACAUGGCCAACACAAGCUACCUGGUUACGAUAAGUGAUGAAAGAAACACCACCACUGGCGGAAAUGUGACAAUGUAUUUACUUCAAGCCUUGUCCCCUGAAAAUACCACCGCAGGAGAAUGGACCGUAACAAACAAGCAAAACUGCAGUGGUGUUGAGACAGCAGUGUUAAAUGCCCCUGAAGAAUCCUUGGCAACAGCAAAUUGGACAUCUCCAAGUAACUUAUCUUCCGUGGAAAUAAGGGCAUACAUCAUCUUUGACAACAAUUCCACCAACUUGAAGAGGUUGACUCUGCAGGAAGUUCCACGAACAGAUCCAACCACACCCUCAACAACCCCUGACUCCGUCUCCGCAGUCCAGAGCAGCUUCUUCUUCAUCGCCAUCACUCAGCUGCUGAUGCUUCUCGCUACAAGCAAACUGCUCUCCUAGGAGAUGGGGAGAGGAGAUGACCCAGCUGUGCUGCUCCUCUCCUCACCCACAGCACAGGUGGGAGAGCAGGCAGCUGAUCUACUCAGGAAAAUCAUUCACUUCUUAUGCGUAUUAAGAUGAUAACUGCACUUCUACAUUAGAUGUGGCCGCAGAGCUGAUCUCCCCUUACUCCCCUCACCCAGGGCCAGCAAACGCAGCAAGAUUAGCAAGUCAGAGAGCACUCUGGUCAGAACAGCUGGAGAAGGUGAUUGAGGAGAGCAGACCCCUUCUAACCAGGAGCACUGGAUGGGUUAAUCCUUUCCUCAACACCUGGGGUCCUGUGAAGCACAAAAAUAAAAAAAAAAAAAGCAUGAAAAUGCUCA